rnacentral:rRNA from 1 species
AUUGAACGCUGGCGGCAGGCCUAACACAUGCAAGUCGAACGAGUGGCGGACGGGUGAGUAAUGUCUGGGAAACUGCCUGAUGGAGGGGGAUAACUACUGGAAACGGUAGAUAAUAACGCAUACCAUCGGAUGUGCCCAGAUGGGAUUAGCUAGUUGGUGGGGUAAAGGCUCACCUAGGCGACGAUCCCUAGCUGGUCUGAGAGGAUAAACAGCCACACUGGAACGGAGACACGGUCCAGACUCCUACGGGAGGCAGCAGUGGAGAAUAGUGCACAGUGGGCGCAAGCCUGAUGCAGCCAUGCCACGUGGAUGAAGAGGUCCAUCGUGUUUUAGAGUUCUUUCAGCGUGAAGGCGUUACCCGCAGAAGAAGCACCGGCUAACUCCGUGCCAGCAGCCGCGGUAAUUC